rnacentral:rRNA from 3 species
UCGGACGGCAGCAUAGAAGAGCUUGCUCUUUUGAUGGCGAGUGGCGAACGGGUGAGUAAUGCAUCGGAACGUACCGAGUAGUGGGGGAUAACUGUCCGAAAGGAUGGCUAAUACCGCAUAUUCUCUGAGGAGGAAAGCAGGGGACCUUAGGGCCUUGCGCUAUUUGAGCGGCCGAUGUCUGAUUAGCUAGUUGGUGGGGUAAGAGCCCACCAAGGCGACGAUCAGUAGCGGGUCUGAGAGGAUGAUCCGCCACACUGGGACUGAGACACGGCCCAGACUCCUACGGGAGGCAGCAGUGGGGAAUUUUGGACAAUGGGCGCAAGCCUGAUCCAGCCAUGCCGCGUGUAUGAAGAAGGCCUUCGGGUUGUAAAGUACUUUUGUCAGGGAAGAAAAGCCUGGGGAUAACACCCUCGGGUCAUGACGGUACCUGAAGAAUAAGCACCGGCUAACUACGUGCCAGCAGCCGCGGUAAUACGUAGGGUGCGAGCGUUAAUCGGAAUUACUGGGCGUAAAGCGAGCGCAGACGGUUAUUUAAGCAAGAUGUGAAAGCCCCGGGCUCAACCUGGGAACUGCGUUUUGAACUGGGUAACUAGAGUGUGUCAGAGGGGGGUAGAAUUCCACGUGUAGCAGUGAAAUGCGUAGAGAUGUGGAGGAAUACCGAUGGCGAAGGCAGCCCCCUGGGAUAACACUGACGUUCAUGCUCGAAAGCGUGGGUAGCAAACAGGAUUAGAUACCCUGGUAGUCCACGCCCUAAACGAUGUCAAUUAGCUGUUGGGGUACAUGAUGCCUUAGUAGCGU